rnacentral:lncRNA from 1 species
CACCGCCCAAGAUCUCCAAGUUCUCCCAGCUUUGUAAAACCCCGCUGCAGCUUCGGUUAAAGCCCCUGGAAGGGGCUGGGCUAAAACCAGAAGAGAAAAGCAGAGGGACGGAUGUGUUCUCAGACUCUGGGAGUUGCUCAAACCGGGCCUCUGCUCCUGUGAUCACCCAGCUAAGAGGGGAGUGUUAUUCAGAUAAUUCCCCCAAACGCUUUCCCUUGCAGAUCAGUGCCUGUACUCUACUGGUAAAAUCUUUCCUUAAUUUUCUCCUCUUUCCCCAUCUGAUUAUCUUACCCCCAUUAAAUCACGGAAAUAUAAUUCUUGUCGUCUCUUUUAUCCCAGGAGCAAACUGAGGCCCAGAGAGGGGAAGAGACUUGCUGAAGGUCACACAGCAACUUUGUGCUGAAGCCCAGGCUAGAUUGCCCGACUGUGCAGCCAUCAGCACUGGUGUAGGACUUGGAAGAGGAGGAUGCUGGAGCAGGUCCCAGUGCAGCUAGGGUGGCAGAAAGUCCCA